rnacentral:misc_RNA from 1 species
CUUGCAUUCCUUCACAAUGCAGAAAGACCAGUUAUCUAUCGUGAUUUCAAGACCUCAAAUAUAUUAUUGGAUUCUGAUUAUACGGCCAAACUAUCUGAUUUCGGGCUUGCAAAAGCAGGGCCACAAGGUGAUGAGACCCAUGUAUCCACUCGUGUGAUGGGUACCUAUGGUUAUGCAGCUCCAGAAUAUGUUAUGACCGGACACCUUACUGCAAGAAGCGACGUGUACAGUUUUGGUGUAGUACUCCUAGAACUAUUGACGGGAAGGAAGUCUGUUGACAAGACCAGACCAAGCAAGGAACAGAAUCUAGUUGACUGGGCUCGGCCAAAACUUAACGAUAAGAGAAAAAUGCUGCAGAUUAUAGACCCUAGAUUAGAUAACCAAUAUUCAGUGAGGGCAGCUCAAAAAGCUUGCAGUUUGGCAUACUAUUGCCUGAGCCAAAACCCCAAAGCAAGACCCUUGAUGAGUGACGUAGUUGAAACUUUAGAGCCACUACAAUCCAGCGGUGGCAGUACAAAUGAAGCCUCAUCAACUGGAACAGCUGUUCGAUUUGCCAUAGGAAAGGUCCCAGAUUACAGAACACACCACCGUUAUGGUAGCUCUCUUGGUACUGCAGCUGGUUGUCGGUCUCCCAACCCAAACUGUUCCCCAGGUGGCCCUGCAGCAUGCCGUGUUAGAUAAGGAACACGACAUAACUGAAUGUAGCUUUGGGUGUACUGCUGUUCUAUACUUUUGGAUGUAAAUUGCAGGAGAAAGUAUAGUCUUUUAAGCUUGUUGUGGUUCUUAAAUGGGCAAAUCUGUACCAGGUGAAGAGCAAUUAGCUGACACAGCUUUUGCUUCUUCCCUUUUUUUCCCUCCAUUGUUGCCUCAUCGAAGAAUUGAAUGUGUGUUUGAG